AUUCCACAUUUCGCGCACAACAAGUGGUAUCAGAGCCGAUGGUUUGUACUUGGGGGAUACGAUACUGUUCACAUACGGUACUGUUCACGAAUACGGUGGAGACGACCAUUUGUACUUGGGAGACAAUCUAUUAUAAGUAGUGUGUAUUUUUGCAUGUCUAGGAAAGUUCUGUCAACAAAGGCGAUAAGAGUCUAAGGAUUCUGGUUUUUAAUUGGGACCAAGUUCCCGUCCAGUUUCCUGGGAACUUUCCUGAUGCAUUUAUUCACGCGA
rnacentral:lncRNA from 1 species